rnacentral:tRNA from 1 species
GGCUUGUGACUCAGUGGUAGAGCACUUGCCUAGCACAUGUGAGGCACUGGGUUCAAUCCUCAGCACCA